CCUACGGGCGGCUGCAGUGGGGAAUAUUGGGCAAUGGGGGGAACCCUGACCCAGCAACGCCGCGUGAGGGAAGAAGGCCUUCGGGUUGUAAACCUCUGUCAUUAGGGAAGAAGAAAGUGACGGUACCUAAUGAGGAAGCCCCGGCUAACUACGUGCCAGCAGCCGCGGUAAUACGUAGGGGGCGAGCGUUGUCCGGAAUUACUGGGCGUAAAGGGUGCGCAGGCGGCUAUUUAAGUUGGAUGUGAAAUACCCGGGCUUAACCUGGGGGGUGCAUUCAAAACUGGGUAGCUAGAGUGCAGGAGAGGGAAGCGGAAUUCCUAGUGUAGCGGUGAAAUGCGUAGAUAUUAGGAGGAACACCAGUGGCGAAGGCGGCUUUCUGGACUGUAACUGACGCUGAGGCACGAAAGCGUGGGGAGCAAACAGGCUUAGAUACCCGGGUAGUC
rnacentral:rRNA from 1 species